CUACGUGCCAGCAGCCGCGGUCAUACGUAGGAUCCGAGCGUUAUCCGGAGUGACUGGGCGUAAAGAGUUGCGUAGGUGGUUCGAUAAGCGAAUAGUGAAAUCUGGUGGCUCAACCAUUCAGACUAUUAUUCGAACUGUUGAACUCGAGAGCAGAAGAGGUAGCUGGAAUUUCUAGUGUAGGAGUGAAAUCCGUAGAUAUUAGAAGGAACACCGAUGGCGUAGGCAGGCUACUGGGCUGUUUCUGACACUGAGGCACGAAAGCGUGGGGAGCGAACCGGAUUAGAUACCCGGGUAGUCCACGCCGUAAACGAUGGAUACUAGCUGUUUGGGGUAUCGACCCCCUGAGUAGCGAAGCUAACGCGUUAAGUAUCCCGCCUGUGGAGUACGAUCGCAAGAUUAAAACAUAAAGGAAUUGACGGGGACCCGCACAAGCGGUGGAUCAUGUUCUUUAAUUCGAUGAUAACCGAUAAACCUUACCAGGUCUU
rnacentral:rRNA from 1 species